rnacentral:rRNA from 1 species
AAGCUUGCUUUUUUGAGACCGGCGCACGGGUGAGUAACGCGUAUGCAACCUACCUUAUACAGGGGAAUAGCCCGAAGAAAUUCGGAUUAAUACUCCAUGGUUUAUCGAUAUGGCAUCGUAUUGAUCAUAAAGAUUUAUCGGUAUAAGAUGGGCAUGCGUAUCAUUAGCUAGUUGGUGUGGUAACGGCAUACCAAGGCAACGAUGAUUAGGGGUCCUGAGAGGGAGAUCCCCCACACUGGUACUGAGACACGGACCAGACUCCUACGGGAGGCAGCAGUGAGGAAUAUUGGUCAAUGGAGGCAACUCUGAACCAGCCAUGCCGCGUGCAGGAUGACGGUCCUAUGGAUUGUAAACUGCUUUUGUACAGGAAGAAACCUCCCUACGAGUAGGGACUUGACGGUACUGUAAGAAUAAGGAUCGGCUAACUCCGUGCCCAGCAGCCGCGGUAAUACGGAGGAUACCGAGCGUUAUCCGGAAAUAUUGGGUUUAAAGGGUUCGUAGGCGGUCAGAUAAGUCAGUGGUGAAAUUUCCUAAGCUUUAACUAAGACACGGCCAUUGAUACUGUUUGACUUUGAAUAGUAUGGAAGUAACUAGAAUAUGUAGUGUAGCGGUGAAAAUGCUUAGAUAUUACAUGUAAUACCAAUUGCGAAGGCAGGUUAUUACGUAUUUAUCGACGCUGAUGAACGAAAGCGUGGGGAGCGAACAGGAUUAGAUACCCUGGUAGUCCACGCCGUAAACGAUGGAUACUAGCUGUUCGGUUUUCGGACUGAGUGGCUAAGCGAAAGUGAUAAGUAUCCCACCUGGGGAGUACGUUCGCAAGAAUGAAACUCAAAGGAAUUGACGGGGGCCCGCACAAGCGGUGGAGCAUGUGGUUUAAUUCGAUGAUACGCGAGGAACCUUACCAGGGCUUAAAUGUAGAUUGACAGAUUUGGAAACAGAUUUUUCUUCGGACAAUUUACAAGGUGCUGCAUGGUUGUCGUCAGCUCGUGCCGUGAGGUGUCAGGUUAAGUCCUAUAACGAGCGCAACCCCUAUUGUUAGUUUCCAGCGAGUAAUGUCGGGGACUCUAGCAAGACUGCCGGUGCAAACCGUGAGGAAGGUGGGGAUGACGUCAAAUCAUCACGGCCCUUACGUCCUGGGCUACACACGUGCUACAAUGGCAAGUACAGAAAGCAGCUACCUGGCAACAGGAUGCGAAUCUCCAAAGCUUGUCUCAGUUCGGAUUGGAGUCUGCAACUCGACUUUAUGAAGCUGGAAUCGCUAGUAAUCGGAUAUCAGCCAUGAUCAGGUGAAUACGUUCCCGG